rnacentral:rRNA from 1 species
UAAGACUCCUACGGGAGGCAGCAGUGGGGAAUAUUGCACAAUGGGCGAAAGCCUGAUGCAGCGACGCCGCGUGAGGGAUGACGGCCUUCGGGUUGUAAACCUCUUUCAGUAGGGAAGAAGCGAAAGUGACGGUACCUGCAGAAGAAGCACCGGCUAACUACGUGCCAGCAGCCGCGGUAAUACGUAGGGUGCGAGCGUUAUCCGGAAUUAUUGGGCGUAAAGAGCUCGUAGGCGGUUUGUCGCGUCUGUCGUGAAAGUCCGGGGCUUAACCCCGGAUCUGCGGUGGGUACGGGCAGACUAGAGUGCAGUAGGGGAGACUGGAAUUCCUGGUGUAGCGGUGGAAUGCGCAGAUAUCAGGAGGAACACCGAUGGCGAAGGCAGGUCUCUGGGCUGUAACUGACGCUGA